rnacentral:lncRNA from 1 species
AUGGUUUAUAUCGUUGAACUGGAUGAUAUUUUCUCAUCAGUUUACUGCCCAUUUUUUCCAUCACUUGCGGGAGUCAUUAAUAGGUUUACUUACUAGGCAGUAACACAUGAACUCCUCGGGUAAUAAUACAUGAACUACUAGGUAUAUAAUUUUCCAUCGAGCACUUGAAAACAUAAAACAUUACACAAAGAGAAGCACUGAACAGUGCAUGUAAGAAUAAAUCCCACAUCCAUCAUAUACUAGAAGCUUCCACUUGAAUAGGAAAAUUUGUUUAUCCCUCACAGAUCAAAACACAAAACCUGAAGAAGAGAAGUAUUGGUUUCUCAUUGACAUAACAACAAACAGGAGCACAAAAUCAUAGUUAUUCGCCAAUGUCAGCACGGUGCAUCGUUCCAUUUUUCUCGUUGUUGUUGUUGUCUUCUUGGACUAUUGAAAGUGUUCUUCCUUGUCAUUUAUUGUCAUGGCCAAUAAUGCCUAAAAGUGCUCAUCCAGGUCUCCACUCUCCCGAAAUCCCUAACCCAUUAAAAAUCAAUAGAUUUACACAAUGAAUAUAGAAAUGCACGAAUGAAUCUCAUUCUCAAGAUCAGUGAUGAAGGAUGUAAUAAAUAUCAUUGAAAAAAAGCCAAAGCGUACAAUAAAUGAGAGCACAAAUAAAACAACGCCUUAGUUUUCCCAUGUUUCUUUGUGAUCCACAUUGGUUCUUUUCCUCAUUGAACUUUUCUUCCUAUGAAGUUAUGGUCCUUUUGAAUCUGAAGUGAUGAUAGACCGUUUUUUGCUAAACUGUCAUCACAUUUCUAGAGUGGUGGAGAAGGAGCUCAUGUCACUACUGAAUCAAUGGUAUUAGAAGUUCAUGUAAUAUAAGUAAAACAAACUAACUGAUUGUCAAGUGCUCCUAUGAACUAAAUUUAAAUUAGAAAUUAAAUAGAACUUAAUUUUUCUAGUGCUCCUAUGGGUAGUACACACACAACCUGACAAGGCACUGUACAAGUUCAUGUAAAAAGAACAACCAAGUUCAUAUAUAGUAAACAUUAUAAGUUCACAAAGAAACCUAAAAAGAGUUUUGUACUAUAUCUGCUAUAGCAACUAUAACAACCAAGUUAAUAUACGCCAUGGGGUCAGACUGGGAACACGCAAUGGAUCCUGGAGUGGUGGACAGGGGGUUCAUGUCACUACCACAUCAAUUAUGGCACCAGAAGUUCAUGGAAUAUAAGUAAAACAAACUAAUUGAUUUUUAAGUGCUCCUAUGAGCUGAACCUAAAUUAGGAAUUGAACUAAACUUAAAUGGUGGAAACUUAGGGUAAACCAGUCAGUUUAUACGAACUAGUUCUGCUUGGACUGAUACUUGGAUGGCUGCCAGUCACCAUGGUGGACGAGCUCGUGGCCAAGUGCGACCAAGGCGACCACCGGGAACUGUAGGUGCUUGUGCUUCUUCUCAGCAGCGAACUCACACAAGGUGUGCAUGAUUAGGGGAAGCAUGGUUCAUGGGUGGCCUUCAUCUUGCCGCCAGAUACGGGCUGCUGGCGCUCGUGGACGUCGUCGAUCGGACGCGGGGCAGCAUCACUCGUGGACAGAGAUCAAUAGAAGCUUUUCUAGCAAAGCAUUCUCUAAUGCAAAUCUUCCUAGCAACCUCAUCCAAUGCCACAAAUGCAUUAGCUCUGGUUUUAGUUGAAACUAAAUUUAGAUGAAAUGUGAGAAAAGCUGUUAGAAGGAUAAGAAACCAGUUCCAAGCAAGAAAAUAAACAAGUACAAGAAUGAGUAUAGCAAGAGGAGUUGCUGGCAUGUUUAUGUGAAUGCGUAUGUUUAUUCAGUACACCAUGUUUAUGUUGUUCAGUACACCAUGCUUAUGUUCUUCAGUACACCAUGUGAUGGAACUACAAACUCUUUUUCUCUCUGAAACAAGCAACAUUCACACAAACAUCCUACAUUUCUAGCGUCAGAAGUUACUUGUCAUGAACUGACAGAUUUACACAAGUAGACCAACCAAUGGCGAAAUCUACUAAAUGUUUAAAAGAAUCAGUAAUUUUGUACGAGUUGGGGAUUCAUGUGUUUCGUUGUACUGAAUUUAAUAACCAAAAUGCAUAUUCAUACAAGAAACAUCCAAAAAGAAGUUUAAGCACCUAGGUGGAAUAAAGUUGAAGCCGACAGCCAUGGACUACUGGUCGCGAUGAACUCGACCACCCUGAUGCCAUGGGGUUGGACUGAGGACGGCACACAUGCGCCCUUGACGGCGGCAGAGAACACGGGAGACUACAACU